ensembl:lncRNA
CACAGGCCUGAGGCCUGUGGUGAGGUGAGGCCUGGCUGGGCCUCGGCCAGGUCGCCCAGACUAAAUUUCAGCAAACCUAGCUAUGAAAUCAAGUGCCUGGGUUGCAUUUCUGGGGGCACUAAGGGACAUGAACCAAAACCAGAUAUGACUUGUUAAAGCAGAUAUGUGUUUUGGGCUGGGAGGAGAAUAUCCAUCAUUUCCAGAUGUGGACAUAUGAUCCAGGAGGCAACUGAAGCCCACCUGGAAUGACUUUAGCUUUCAGCUUUACCUCAGGCUGUACCCAGGUUAGCUUCUAGUGACUUAUGACUCCAUCAAUCUGCACAGAUAUGUGCUGUGCUCCUUCAAGGGAAGCAGUUCAUCUUCUAUAUGACUGCAUCUCCACCUCUUCCAAAGUUCAAAGAACCCAGGACAAUUGCUUAUUCGGACGGGCUUCCAGUCUGUGGUUUAAGAAGUUACCUAGUCUCCUGCUCAUGCUCCACUAACAACAAUGUAUACUCCUUUCAUUGGUGUUUAUUUAAAAGCCUGCCAAUAUAUCUGAAAUCAGCACAUACUGAAUGUUGA